GCCUGGGACUGGCAGGCGCGACUGGGAGCCUUUCAGGCUACCCCGACACCCCUGAGCUGGACUCCAGCUCACUUGGCUCCAAACUCUUUGCUCUUACACUACGGGAAUGCGGUGGCGGGGAGGGACAUAAAAUCAGCGACGAGGCUUCGCGAGUGAGAAACCCUGACCUGUCCUUUGGGUUCAGGGAGACAGGUGUGUGGGCUCAUCCCUGGUUUCCUAAAGAGGGAGCCUCCUCGCUGCUGGGCCAGUCGGCAGACACGGGGGUCCAGGAGUCCGCCUGCGCAGGGAAGGAUGAAGCUGGGCAGGCAUCCAGCGCAGAGGGGGUCCCCAAUCCUGAGCCUGUGGCAGGAAUGCUCACUCCUUGCCAACAGUCCACCUAGCCAUCCAUUAAGGCUCACCAAGUCCACAGAGCUGCUUGCUAGGAAGGCAGAGGAGGAAAGACUCCAGGAGAGUGAAUAAGCUGUCCGGACCCAAGGAAAAGGGUGCCUUUGCCACAGAGCUGAAGGCUUUCCAGGAGACGCUGGCCCAGAACAGUGAAAUGAGUUGAGAGUUUGGAAACUGACCCCCUUUCUGUACCUUCUCUCUGGCUCUCUUGGUGGAAAUGGGUACAAAUCUGGGAACAUCCAGGGUGAUGUGAAUCCCCAAGCACCUAACGUGGAUCCUUACAUGUAAUGAGUACCUUAAUAAACGCUGAUUAGUGGGGAGUUAGGGAAGGCUUUCUGGGGGGGGUGGCCAGGCAAGGAGGUAAUGCAUGCCAGGCUGAAGAGAGUGAGGUAAGGGUCUAAAGUCUCCACAGCAGAACCCAGCUGAAGGGGGCCAGGGAUGUCGGGAGUGGGGAUACAAAGCUCAUCCUUCAGGGAAGUAGGAGAGGGCCCUAAAGUCUCCUCCUCUAGCCUUGCGGCCACAGGCUCUGGCUACCUCUAAGUUUCCUUCCUUCUGUGUAGAGAGGAAACCUAGAUCCUGACUGCAGGGUCUUUGGGGUAACAGCUUUAUUAAGGUACAAUCACAUACUAUCCAAAGCCAGAGGUCACUGGCUUCCAGAAUAUUCAUCAUGCUGUGCAAUUAUGACUAGCCUCAAUUUUAAAUUUUAUGUUAGAUUUUAUGUGCAUGAGUGUUUGCCUGCAUAUAUGUAUGUGUAUCACAUGU